GAUGAACGCUGGCGGCGUGCCUAAUACAUGCAAGUCGAGCGAACGGACGAGAAACUUGCUUCUCUGAUAUUAGCGGCGGACGGGUGAGUAACACGUGGAUAACCUACCUAUAAGACUGGGAUAACUUCGGGAAACCGGAGCUAAUACCGGAUGAUAUUUUGAACCGCAUGGUUCAAAAGUUAAAUACGUUCUUGCUGUCACUUAUAGAUACAUCCGCGCUGCAUUAGCUAGUUGGUAAGGUAACGGCUUACCAAGGCAACGAUGCAUAGCCGACCUGAUAGGGUGAUCGGCCACACUGGAACUGAGACACGGUCCAGACUCCUACGGGAGGCAGCAGUAGGGAAUCUUACGCAAUGGGCGAAAGCCUGACGGAGCAACGCCGCGUGAGUGAUGAAGUUCUUCGGAUCUUAAAACUCUGUUAUUAGGGAAGAACAUAUGUGUAAGUAACUGUGCACAUCUUGACGGUACCUAAUCAGAAAGCCACGGCUAACUACGUG
rnacentral:rRNA from 1 species